rnacentral:rRNA from 1 species
UACAGAGACUGCAAGCGUUAUUCGGAUUCACUGGGCGUAAAGGGUGCGCAGGCGGCCGUGUGUGUGAGGCGUGAAAGCCCGGGGCUUAACCCCGGGAUUGCACCUCAAACUACAUGGCUAGAGCAUUGGAGAGGGUAGCAGAAUUCAUGGUGUAGCAGUGAAAUGCGUAGAUAUCAUGAGGAAUACCAGAGGCGAAGGCGGCUACCUGGACAAUUGCUGACGCUCAGGCACGAAAGCGUGGGGAGCAAAAGGG